rnacentral:snRNA from 1 species
AUCGCUUCUCUGUCUUUUGGCUAAGAUCAUGUGUAGUAUCUGUAACUGUUUAAAAGCCCUAAGAAAUUCUAGAGUAUCUGGUAAUAGCAAUAAAAUAUGUUAUUGGUACAAAGGAUAUUGCCU